CACCCGAAGCCGGUGGCCUAACCCUUGUGGAGGGAGCCGUCGAAGGUGGGAUCGGCGAUUUGGGACGAAGUCGUAACAAGGUAGCCGUAACCGGAAGGUGCGGCUGGAUCACCUCCUUUCUAA
rnacentral:rRNA from 1 species